rnacentral:rRNA from 1 species
UACAGAGGUCCCAAGCGUUGUUCGGAUUCAUUGGGCGUAAAGGGUGCGUAGGCGGCGCGGUGAGUCGGGUGUGAAAUCUCGGAGCUUAACUCCGAAACUGCAUUCGAUACUGCCGUGCUUGAGGACUGGAGAGGAGACUGGAAUUUACGGUGUAGCGGUGAAAUGCGUAGAUAUCGUAAGGAAGACCAGUGGCGAAGGCGGGUCUCUGGACAGUUCCUGACGCUGAGGCACGAAGGUCAGGGGAGCAAACGGG